AACGAACGCUGGCGGCAUGCCUAACACAUGCAAGUCGAACGAGACCUUCGGGUCUAGUGGCGCACGGGUGCGUAACGCGUGGGAACCUGCCCUUAGGUUCGGAAUAACUCCCCGAAAGGGGUGCUAAUACCGGAUAAUGUCUUCGGACCAAAGAUUUAUCGCCUUUGGAUGGGCCCGCGUUGGAUUAGCUAGUUGGUAGGGUAAAAGCCUACCAAGGCGACGAUACAUAGCUGGUCUGAGAGGAUGAUCAGCCACACUGGGACUGAGACACGGCCCAGACUCCUACGGGAGGCAGCAGUGGGUAAUAUUGGACAAUGGGCGAAAGCCUGAUCCAGCAAUGCCGCGUGAGUGAUGAAGUCCUUAGGGUUGUAAAGCUCUUUUACCCGGGAUGAUAAUGACAGUACCGGGAGAAUAAGCUCCGGCUAACUCCGUG
rnacentral:rRNA from 1 species